AGAGUUUGUAUCAUGUGCCUUUCUGUUCUCAUAGUGAAAUGACAAUGGUGCCAAUAUGGUAUAAGAAUUAUGAUGCUUUAAAUGCUGAUAGGGCCAUUUACGUCCUCUGAUUCGUUGCCCGAGCAGCUCUACAGCAUCCUCUACUUCUUAACUGAUGGUGACAUUUCUUUACUAUUCCUACAAUAUAGAUAAAUGAUAUUCUACUAUUAGUUUUCCAUUUCCUGAAACGACACCUUUCAGUUCACUAUUCUGCUGUGCUAGAUUGCAUUCCUUGUCGGUAUUGUAUUUCUUGUUGCUUGUAGCAGAUACGACUGGUAUGCAUUUUGUUAUUAUUUUUUUCUUUAAUAGAAGGCAAGCUGGGGACUGGUCCGUUUGCAAAAGCAGCAAUGCAACCACAAGCAAGCUGAGGAGGUGCCUCAAAGAUACACAAGUUGAUCUACAGGCUGCCUUGAAGAUUUGGGAGACCUACGACUAAGUUGGUGGAGUGAAAUUGUAAUAAGCCUUGUUUGUUGAACCUGGAGAUAUUGGCACGUUUUACGCUCAUUUUGUUUUUUUUGUUUUGGCACAUAAGUCACAAGUUUUACUCUCAUUUUGAUUGUGUUGCACAUCCAGAAACAUAUGUUCUUUUCCUUUUUGUUGCACGUCCUUGUAUAUUGUUGUCUCAUGAAUGUAUCAAAGGAAAAUACAUAUUUUGUCUA